GAAAAGUUGUUUACAGAAAAAAAAAAAUUGCAAUAUUUUACUAACAUAUUUUGUACAUUUUUCAUUUUUCCUCAGUUUUCACGAUUUUUUUCCAUUUAUUGGGAAAACUGCUGGAAAAAUAAAAAAAAAAGACCUCCUUAAAGUAUCAUGGAGAUCCAUUUUCCCUUCAGAAAAUAAACUACACUUGAUAUAGGUACAUAGGAGGAAGAUUUCUGGUAGAAAAGUUUGCAUAACAAAUCAAGGGGUAUUUUGCGAUUAAAAUAGUCCGAGAGAGCGAUGACUUGGGUUUCUAGAUACACCCAAAAUGCAUUUAAUUUUUCCUUGUUUAAGUAAAAGGGGAAAGAAAGUGUAAACAAUUUUGUUCGAAACUCGGGUUUGAAAAUCGUAACCAGUUAGAUUAUUAUGGGCAUGUAUAAUCAUUAGAUCAUGACAAAUAUUAUUUAAGAAAGACAAUAUGGAGUUAUUUUACAUAACAUAUUAUAAUAUUCGUAUAAUGUCAGAACUUUAAAAAGCUAUGAUUUCGAAAUUAGUCCGCUCAAUUUUGACUUCACCAUCAUUCUUAAAUCGGUAAUAUACAUAUGGUUCGAAAAAAAAAUAUUAAAUAAAAAUUAGAUUUGUUCCACAUAAAUUUUUACUCAAACGAUUUUCGUCAAAAUUAAUAAUAAUAAUUUAAUAUC